GGGUUGUGAGGUUAAGCGACUAAGCGUACACGGUGGAUGCCCUGGCAGUCAGAGGCGAUGAAGGGCGUGCUAAUCUGCGAUAAGCGCCGGUAAGGUGAUAUGAACCGUUAUAACCGGCGAUACCCGAAUGGGGAAACCCAGUGUGACUCGUCACACUAUCAUUAACUGAAUCCAUAGGUUAAUGAGGCGAACCGGGGGAACUGAAACAUCUAAGUACCCCGAGGAAAAGAAAUCAACCGAGAUUCCCCCAGUAGCGGCGAGCGAACGGGGAGGAGCCCAGAGCCUGAAUCAGCAUGUGUGUUAGUGGAAGCGUCUGGAAAGGCGCGCGAUACAGGGUGACAGCCCCGUACACAAAAGCGCAUGUGCUGUGAGCUCGAUGAGUAGGGCGGGACACGUGGUAUCCUGUCUGAAUAUGGGGGGACCAUCCUCCAAGGCUAAAUACUCCUGACUGACCGAUAGUGAACCAGUACCGUGAGGGAAAGGCGAAAAGAACCCCGGCGAGGGGAGUGAAAAAGAACCUGAAACCGUGUACGUACAAGCAGUGGGAGCCCCACCACUAAGCCAGUGGUGAACUCCACAUACGCAUCCUUUGCUGAGGAUACGGUUAACGGAGCGAAAGCGACGUUCAACCUCAAAAGAAGCAGAGGGGGCUUAGUGGUGGGGUGACUGCGUACCUUUUGUAUAAUGGGUCAGCGACUUAUAUUCUGUAGCAAGGUUAACCGCAUAGGGGAGCCGGAGGGAAACCGAGUCUUAAUUGGGCGUUAAGUUGCAGGGUAUAGACCCGAAACCCGGUGAUCUAGCCAUGGGCAGGUUGAAGGUUGGGUAACACUAACUGGAGGACCGAACCGACUAAUGUUGAAAAAUUAGCGGAUGACCUGUGGCUGGGGGUGAAAGGCCAAUCAAACCGGGAGAUAGCUGGUUCUCCCCGAAAGCUAUUUAGGUAGCGCCUCGUGAAUUCAUCUCCGGGGGUAGAGCACUGUUUCGGCUAGGGGGCCAUCCCGGCUUACCAACCCGAUGCAAACUGCGAAUACCGGAGAAUGUUAUCACGGGAGACACACGGCGGGUGCUAACGUCCGUCGUGAAGAGGGAAACAACCCAGACCGCCAGCUAAGGUCCCAAAGUCAUGGUUAAGUGGGAAACGAUGUGGGAAGGCCCAGACAGCCAGGAUGUUGGCUUAGAAGCAGCCAUCAUUUAAAGAAAGCGUAAUAGCUCACUGGUCGAGUCGGCCUGCGCGGAAGAUGUAACGGGGCUAAACCAUGCACCGAAGCUGCGGCAGCGACGCUGAUGCGUUGUUGGGUAGGGGAGCGUUCUGUAAGCCUGUGAAGGUGUGCUGUGAGGCAUGCUGGAGGUAUCAGAAGUGCGAAUGCUGACAUAAGUAACGAUAAAGCGGGUGAAAAGCCCGCUCGCCGGAAGACCAAGGGUUCCUGUCCAACGUUAAUCGGGGCAGGGUGAGUCGACCCCUAAGGCGAGGCCGAAAGGCGUAGUCGAUGGGAAACAGGUUAAUAUUCCUGUACUUGGUGUUACUGCGAAGGGGGGACGGAGAAGGCUAUGUUGGCCGGGCGACGGUUGUCCCGGUUUAAGCGUGUAGGCUGGUUUUCCAGGCAAAUCCGGAAAAUCAAGGCUGAGGCGUGAUGACGAGGCACUACGGUGCUGAAGCAACAAAUGCCCUGCUUCCAGGAAAAGCCUCUAAGCAUCAGGUAACAUCAAAUCGUACCCCAAACCGACACAGGUGGUCAGGUAGAGAAUACCAAGGCGCUUGAGAGAACUCGGGUGAAGGAACUAGGCAAAAUGGUGCCGUAACUUCGGGAGAAGGCACGCUGACACGUAGGUGAAGUGAUUUACUCAUGGAGCUGAAGUCAGUCGAAGAUACCAGCUGGCUGCAACUGUUUAUUAAAAACACAGCACUGUGCAAACACGAAAGUGGACGUAUACGGUGUGACGCCUGCCCGGUGCCGGAAGGUUAAUUGAUGGGGUCAGCGCAAGCGAAGCUCCUGAUCGAAGCCCCGGUAAACGGCGGCCGUAACUAUAACGGUCCUAAGGUAGCGAAAUUCCUUGUCGGGUAAGUUCCGACCUGCACGAAUGGCGUAAUGAUGGCCAGGCUGUCUCCACCCGAGACUCAGUGAAAUUGAACUCGCUGUGAAGAUGCAGUGUACCCGCGGCAAGACGGAAAGACCCCGUGAACCUUUACUAUAGCUUGACACUGAACAUUGAGCCUUGAUGUGUAGGAUAGGUGGGAGGCUUUGAAGUGUGGACGCCAGUCUGCAUGGAGCCGACCUUGAAAUACCACCCUUUAAUGUUUGAUGUUCUAACGUGGACCCGUAAUCCGGGUUGCGGACAGUGUCUGGUGGGUAGUUUGACUGGGGCGGUCUCCUCCUAAAGAGUAACGGAGGAGCACGAAGGUUGGCUAAUCCUGGUCGGACAUCAGGAGGUUAGUGCAAUGGCAUAAGCCAGCUUGACUGCGAGCGUGACGGCGCGAGCAGGUGCGAAAGCAGGUCAUAGUGAUCCGGUGGUUCUGAAUGGAAGGGCCAUCGCUCAACGGAUAAAAGGUACUCCGGGGAUAACAGGCUGAUACCGCCCAAGAGUUCAUAUCGACGGCGGUGUUUGGCACCUCGAUGUCGGCUCAUCACAUCCUGGGGCUGAAGUAGGUCCCAAGGGUAUGGCUGUUCGCCAUUUAAAGUGGUACGCGAGCUGGGUUUAGAACGUCGUGAGACAGUUCGGUCCCUAUCUGCCGUGGGCGCUGGAGAACUGAGGGGGGCUGCUCCUAGUACGAGAGGACCGGAGUGGACGCAUCACUGGUGUUCGGGUUGUCAUGCCAAUGGCACUGCCCGGUAGCUAAAUGCGGAAGAGAUAAGUGCUGAAAGCAUCUAAGCACGAAACUUGCCCCGAGAUGAGUUCUCCCUGAGACUUAGAGUCUCCUGAAGGAACGUUGAAGACGACGACGUUGAUAGGCCGGGUGUGUAAGCGCAGCGAUGCGUUGAGCUAACCGGUACUAAUGAACCGUGAGGCUUAACCUUACAACGCCGAAG
rnacentral:rRNA from 4 species